rnacentral:lncRNA from 1 species
AAAAUGGGGUGCCAAAGUCAUAACAUCUGAGCUUAAAAAAAUCAAAACAACGUUUACACACAUCAUUUGUCCAGAAAAAUUCUCUCUCUCAAAAAAUACUGAGAGUUGCUCUGCAACUCCCUCAAUACCCUUUGUUCACGUCUUAACGGAGAAGAUGGCGGUCGCCGGCCAACGGCGGCAGCGCCGCCUUCUUCUCCGGUGAACCCUCGGCCACAACAACUAAAUAAACCCCCCUUUCUUAUUCUUGGCCCGAGAUCACAGAUUCGGCCUUGCUUUCCCUUGAAUCAUCCUCAAUCGAUCGAGACGAAAACGAAAUCACAACCUGAUCAAAUGAAAGCUCGAAC